UUCUGGCUCAGAAUGAACGCUGGCGAGAUGCUUUACACAUGCAAGUCGUACGAGAGUUUUUAACUCAAGUGGCGGACGGGUGAGUAACACGUAAGAAUUUGCCUUUAGGAGGGGGACAACAACUGGAAACGGUUGCUAAUACCCCAUAUGCUUUCGAGUGAAAUGGAUUUUUCCGCCUAGAGAGAAGCUUGCGGCUGAUUAGCUUGUUGGUGAGGUAAUGGCUCACCAAGGCGACGAUCAGUAUCUGGUUUGAGAGGAUGAUCUGACACACUGGAACUGAGACACGGUCCAGACUCCUACGGGAGGCAGCAGUGGGGAAUUUUCCGCAAUGGGCGAAAGCCUGACGGAGCAAUCUCGCGUGAGGGAUGACGGCCUAUGGGUUGUAAACCUCUUUUUUCAGGGAGGAACAAAAUGACGUGUACCUGAAGAAUAAGCAUCGGCUAACUCCGUGCCAGCAGCCGCGGUAAGACGGAGGAUGCAAGUGUUAUCCGGAAUCACUGGGCGUAAAGCGUCUGUAGGUGGUUUAAUAAGUCAACUGUUAAAUCUUGAAGCUCAACUUCAAGACCGCAGUCGAAACUAUUAGACUAGAGUAUAGUAGGGGUAAAGGGAAUUUCCAGUGGAGCGGUGAAAUGCGUAGAGAUUGGAAAGAACACCGAUGGCGAAGGCACUUUACUGGGCUAUUACUAACACUCAGAGACGAAAGCUAGGGUAGCAAAUGGGAUUAGAUACCCCAGUAGUCCUAGCUGUAAACCAUG
rnacentral:rRNA from 1 species